UCCCCUCUCCAAACCUAACUACUGAAGUUCAUUCUCAGUUACUACUCUUUCUCCUUCUCCUAAUUCCAGUAUAGGAGGUUCUCCCUCCUCCUAUUUCCCUAGCCAGUUUUCAAGGAGUUUUUUUCUUUGUAUAGGCAGUAUUAUUUGUGAUUGUGGAGUUAGCAUCUCUGCCACCCACAGUGGAGAGUAGGGACAAAUGUAUAGACCAUGAGCUUGGCUAGCAGGCAAAUGGAAGCUGUGGGGUUAGUCUGGUUGCUGGCACAGACCACAUCCCAUCAGUCGAAUGUCCCACUUGACUUCAGUUGAGGGCAGAUAGCAGGGGUGGAGUGGGAGGGGUGGGGAACACAUUCUGAGGAGAACCCAGCCUUCUUAUUUCAUAAUUGCUCCAUGGUGUCAACAGUUCCAGGUUACCUCAGCAGUUCUCCAGUCUCCUUUCACAUUGCUCUUAAUCAUCUUAUUUUAUUUGCAACUAGGAUAAAAGUAACCAGGUCACAGUUACCAAAUGCUUUUUACUCAGUCAUAAGGAUGUUUUAGAUCAGAAUCCUGUGGAUUGUUGCAAUGCCCACCUGUGGACACUGACUCCUUGAGCAGUUCUACAAAGCAACUCUCAUUUGACAUUCUGCAUCAUGGAGGAAUGUGGCCGCCUCCCCAAGCAGGCUUGAGCUGCUACACAGCCCUGAGCUGGGUCCCUGGGAGGAUCCGAGAGAAGGAACCUGGCAGCGUCUGGGAACAGGCCCUGAGGAAGCGCAGAAGGCCAGGUGGUAAGAAUCCAAGGAAAGGGCAUGGCAUUCCUAAGCAAAGGUGUCAAGCGGUGGAAGGAUGUUGUGCCGUGACUGUUGAUGCUCAGGAUCUAGGUAACACAUGAACAUUGUGUGGGGGUGUGCCACGGGGUCUGUCAACGGGCACCCACGUUAGGUUUGAGACGUGACCUGGAGAGGAACUUGGUGAGUAAAGCCCUUGGGAAGAUAGGAGGGGUUAUCAUGCAGGGUAGAAAGUGACCUGUGUAUGAUCUGAGAUGAAACCAGUGACAGGGUCAGCUUGUGGAUGGCUUUGAGUAAGCAGCAGAAGAGGUUGGACAUUAUCUGGAGAUAACACAAAGUCACUGUAGGCUUCUGAGCAAGAAAGUGCUCUAACUCCUUGCUUUAUGAGAACUAAGCGGCCAGGAGUGGUAAGAGACGAGACCCAGAAGGAGAAAGAAGGUGGCAACAGCCAGCAAUAUUGCUCUUCAGCCUGUUGCCAUGUGACCAAGAAGAGAAGCCGAUUAAGUGUGGUCCCAACAGCCUCCACUCACUAUAGCACCCCUUACUACCCCCCCGCCCCAGCCUGAGUCCCCUCGAAACCAGCAGCCAACUGGGAGGGACCAGCUUCAGAUCCUCCUACAGGACUCUGCUUACCAUGGCAAAGCUGUCGAUUGUUUGCUAAAACAAUUCCCAUUUUAGCAGCUCAAUCAUUAGCCAAAGGCAUUAAAGAAACAAAAAUACUAUGACCAAACCUUGAAGAAUUUAGUCUCUGCUGCUGAACACAUUUAUUAUUAGUAAUAUUUGUUCCAAGAUCUCUGCUUUCUAUAGAACAUGGCAUAAUCAUAAAAUAAAAGUAAUUCACAGAUAACAAAUUUCCCUUUACAAGACAGGUGUUGAUGUCUCAAAUGAGCCCUUGUUUGGACGAUUCUACCCAGGCAAGGCAUUUCCAUCAGUUUGCCACCGGCAGAAUACAUUUGUGAGAUGGGGAGAACAGAAAAAACAAAAACAAAAAAACAGCAACACAAUUUUGGAAGCUGGGAAGCAAAUGGAUGAGUGGUAACUCACUCAGUAGACCCAAGAAAACUGAGUCUUGAACCAGCAAUGGGGAAAGAUUAAUAAAAUUUAUGCUGCAGAAUUCCACCGCCACCCCCAAAUCAGGCAUAAUCAGUAAUAAUUACAUGCAGAAAUGAGGGUGAUGUGGAAAGAGAUAAAAUAAAGAGAUGUGGCUGAAAAGCUAUUAUAAA